rnacentral:misc_RNA from 1 species
AGAAAAUCAGGCUAUAGACGCUCUUUCAAGGAUUCCUUUAACUUCUGUAGCUACCAUUACAGCUCACAUUAUGCCUGAUCAAUUAUUGGUUGUUAUUAAAGUCGGCAGUCACAUAUUGCUCUUCAAACUUUCAUUUCUGAUUUAUAACAGAAUCCAACAUCUCAUCCUAAUUACACUUGGAUUGAAGGACAAUUAAGGAGAAAAGGG